ACCAGAGCGGUGCUGGCCUUGUGAAGGAAGUCCCGCCGAGCAUCACGUACCUGGGAGUGCACGCGGGCGAUCUUCUUCUUGAUUUUGGCCCGGUUGUUGGAGCCACGCUUUUUGCGGGCCAUCAUCCGCUGGUACCGCCUGAGUCGGCGCUCUCGGCGUUCCAUGUGCUUCGGGUGGGGGAUGCGUUCGCCGGUGGACAGGACCGCGAAGUCGGUCAGCCCGAGGUCGACGCCGACGACCCGCCCGGUCAGCUCGGGUGCCGGCGGGACCUCGACGUCAAGGGCAAAAGUGACAUACCAGCGGCCGUCCGGGUUACGCGACACCGUCACCGUGGACGGGUCGAGGGUGGCCGCAUCGAUGUUCGGCCACGACCAGACGAACGCCAGAGCCCCCGGGGUCUUACCGAGGCUGAGAUGCCCGUUGCGCAUCCGGAACGCCGACCGGGUGUAGGAGGCGGACUGACGGCCGUGGCGAGACUUGAACCGGGGGUAACGAGCCCGCUUCGCGAAAAAGGCAGUCAUGGCGUUGUGCUGGUGUCGCAGCGUCUGCUGCAACGGCACAGACGACACCUCGUUAAGGAACGCCAACUCAGGCAC
rnacentral:antisense_RNA from 1 species